AUACGUAGGUGACAAGCGUUAUCCGGAUUUACUGGGCGUAAAGGGCGUGUAGGCGGUCUUGCAAGUCAGAAGUGAAAUUCCUGAGCUCAACUCGGGCGCUGCUUCUGAAACUGCAGGACUUGAGUGCUGGAGGGGAUAGCGGAAUUCCUAGUGGAGCGGUAAAAUGCGCAGAUAUUAGGAAGAACACCGGUGGCGAAGGCGGCUAUCUGGACAGUAACUGACGCUGAGGCGCGAAAGCGGGGGGAGCAAACAGGAUUAGAUACCCUGGUAGUCCACGCCGUAAACGAUGUAUACUAGGUGUAGGGGGUAUCGACUCCCUCUGUGCCGCAGUUAACACAAUAAGUAUUCCGCCUGGGGAGUACGGCCGCAAGGUUGAAACUCAAAGGAAUUGACGG
rnacentral:rRNA from 1 species